UUGAAGCCCUCUUAACUGUUUGGAUUUAUGACGCAGGGUCAAUAAUUUUAACUCUUCUAUAAUAGUUGGAUCUCUAAAUCUGGACCUGCCUAAACUAGUUAGAGUUCUACAUUUGUAAAUAUAGUGAUGACUUAGACGGUCAUGAUCAUGGACACAACAAUGGAAUGUUUAUUUAAUUAAUGGAAGUUCUAUUGUGACUCUUAAGUUGUGACUUUUGAUAAGCCAUCUAUAUUUUCUUUGUUGUUCCAUUUUUUAUUUCCAUUUUUUAUAACCUUCUGGUUGAGGUAGUGGGUGAUGGACUCAACAUCUCUCCCUACUAUUCUAGAUAUAUAUAUAUAUAUAUUCCAUUUCUGUGCACUCUAAUCAUGCCCAAAUUUAUUACUUAAUGUCCUAAUUUAGACGAUUCUUCAGGAUCAUAUUCACAACUAGCGGAAGACUACUCUAAUCCUAACAUCCAUUCUGUUUCUGGCAGCUGGAAUAUGGUUUAUAGGGAUCUUUAUAAGAUUUUCACAAAGCCGUUGAGCAUCCCAAUCUUUAUAAGGUACAGGUAGUAUGCCACCCCCAAGGACAUAGCUUGGAUGAUGAUGAGAGUUGA